rnacentral:rRNA from 1 species
UACGAAGGGAGCUAGCGUUGUUCGGAAUCACUGGGCGUAAAGCGCACGUAGGCGGAUUUGUCAGUCAGGGGUGAAAUCCCGGGGCUCAACCUCGGAACUGCCUUUGAUACAGCAAGUCUUGAGUUCGAGAGAGGUGGGUGGAAUUCCUAGUGUAGAGGUGAAAUUCGUAGAUAUUAGGAAGAACACCGGUGGCGAAGGCGGCAUCCUGGACCGGCAUUGACGCUGAUGAGCGAAAGCUAGGGGAGCAAACGGG